UACGUAGGCAGCAAGCGUUGUUCGGAGUUACUGGGCGUAAAGGGUGUGUAGGCGGUUCUUUAAGUUUGGUGUGAAAUCUCCCGGCCUCAACCGGGAGGGUGCGCCGAAUACUGAGGGACUAGAGUGCGGGAGAGGAAAGUGGAAUUCCUGGUGUAGCGGUGAAAUGCGUAGAUAUCAGGAGGAACACCGGUGGUGUAGACGGCUUUCUGGACCGUAACUGACGCUGAAACACGAAAGCGUGGGUAGCAAACAGG
rnacentral:rRNA from 1 species